GUAAAAAAUGUGGUGUUAAUAUUUCAGUGUUAACCUAAUUUAAUCUAAAUAGAGUAUUUUUAACUAUAUGGAGUGUAAAUCGCCUCUGACAUCGGAGUUAAAAGUCAGAGUAAAAUGCUACAUUCACGCAGUGAAACUUUUGACUCUGCCAAGUGUCAAUAACGCGCCACGGUAAAGAUUUUUGGCAACCGCGAAGAGGAGGAAGAGGAAGAAAGAAGACGAAGCACCAGUUUUUUGAAGUUCGUGAGGCGGCUAUUUCCAUUUUGGAUUCUGAACGAACGGAGUUUUGCUACAGAAAAGGGUAGCGGGAGAAAGCCGAGGGAUAGCCCUAUGCUAGACAAGUUGUCCACCUCGAAAUAUUAGCUGUUUUCUUCCGAAGGCUUUCAAGCAGAAAAGUGUCAGAGUGAUGUAUGCUCAGGGGAUCUUUGCCCUAUUUCCCUAUCUGGAGGACCAAAACAUGGAUAUGAGCAUUACUAUGAUCCAGAGAGCGAUUCAGGAUACCUUGCUUGGCGUUUAAAGACUAUUCAAAGAAAAACUGCAGAGGAAAGGGGUGCCUCAGGUAGCAAAUCUCCCAAAAGUGGUGGACCAGGCCAUGGUCAAUCCAGGGUUUUCACUGCUGACAAAGUGCUGUCAGAUGAGGAAGUGGAAGCAGCUAUUGCUGUUUUGAAACACUCUGCUGAUGAUGACACUGUCCGUGAGAAGAUGAAGGCUACCUUCCAUUACCGUCAUUCAAUGGUCAAUGAUGAAAAGAAAGCAGCAGAUGUCUUCUCUGUCUUUCCAAGAUUUCUGGAGACACCAGGACUGGUAAGACAGUUUUAUCUCUUACACUACUAAAAUACUUAGUGGCAACAGUCAUAGGAGUUUGUCCUGUAACUUGUGUAUCACCAGUUUGAACCCCAACUCUUUCUAAAUUGUUAUGUCCUUGGGAAAGACACUUGACCUGCCUUGCCUGCUGGUGGUGUUCAGAAGGCUUGGUGGCACAAGCCCAUGGCAGCAUUGCUUAUGUCAGUCUUCCCUUGUGCAACUGUGGCUACAAUGUAGCUCACCACCAUCAGCAUGUAAAUGACUAAAUGUGGUGUAAAUCA